GAGGCACUUAAUGAACCCCAAAGAAAUCCAAUAUAUUAUAUACAUUAUAACUAUCAAUAUAUUAUACAUUAUAACUAUCAAACUUUUGAAACUCAAAGAGAACAUUCUGAACAACAGCAAAAGAAAAAAUAACUCAUUAUAUACAGUGGAACCACAAUAAGAUUACGGACUGAAUUCAUCAGAAAUAAGCCAGAAGGCAGUAGGAUGACAUAUUCAAAGAAAAAACUCCCAAAUAAGAAUUCGACAUCCAGCAAGACUACGCAUCAAAAAAUGAAGGCCUCUUAAAGAGAUCUCAGGUAGACAAAAAAUGGUUGUUAUCGGGGCUGCCUUACAAGAAAUACUGGAGAAAAUCCCCAGGACGAACAGCAGUGAGCUCAGAUGCGAAGUGGAAUCACAUGAAGAAAUGAAGAACGCUGGGAAAGGUGAUGACAUGAAAAGACACGGGGGGACCGUAAAUGCCUCUUACAGAGUGAAGGAAGCCUAUGUGAGAAGGCUGCACACUGUACGGCUCCAACUGUGUGACUUUCUGGAAGUGGCAGGAUAUGGAGACUGAAAAGACAGAGCAAGCAGGCGGCCCUCCGAGAGCCAGGCGGAGGGUCCUCACCCAGAACCCAGUCUGCUCGCACCUGGACCUUGCACUUCCCGGCCUGCAGAGCUGCGAGAAAUAAAUGUGUGCUGUCGAAACCACCCAGUCUGUGCUGUUUUGUUACAUCAGUCAGCACUGACUGAGACAGGUGGAUGUCAUGAAGAGGUUCUGACAACUUCAUAGAAAAGAAGAAACUUCCUGACAUCCAAUUCUUGUCCUUGUCUUUGUGGACUUCUGGCCAAGAUGAGGUGUAGAUAGAGACAUCAUGCCUCCUCGCACAACCAGAAGAAGGACAACAACCAAUUUAAAAACAAAAAACAACCAGAACUGCCAGAAAACUGAACUGUAUGGAAGUCCGACAACCAAGGAGUAAAGAAGAAACACUCAUAUAGACCAGCAGGAGGGGGAGAGAGAUGAGAAGACAGGUAGAGAGGACUCUCAGUGAGGUGGUGGAUGGCAGACUGGGGGUCCCACAUUUGCAUGCAGAUAAACCGGGAAGAGCAACUGGGGAGCAAGACAGACCCACAACCCAGGGCUCCAGCAGGGAA